ensembl:lncRNA LINC02018 long intergenic non-protein coding RNA 2018
GUUAGGAGGGCGAGGCCUGGGUACCUCCGCCUUCAGGAAGGUCUUUUUAGCAGGGGCCUUACAGGUGCACGCUUCGGUCCUGGAGGCCUUAUCCUAACCUCUCCAUCAGCGCCACCCGUCUGGGGCCCGAAAGGAGGGAGCUUUCCCUCUGUCCUCCAGCCUUUGGACUGUCUCCAAACAAGCCAUUCGUUCACCAAAUACUUAUUAAGCACCUACCAUGUGCCUGACAAGGGAGAUGUAACGCUGGGGAAACUGAGUUACAGAGCUUUUCUGCACUGAGUCAUCAGGAGCAAAUGCUAGAUCAGAUAGGGUCUCUCUCUCUGCCACCCAGGCCAGAGUGCAGUUGACGCAGGGCAGGGGAGCCCCGAAGUGGAGCAUAGUGUGUCCGGAACUGGUGGGUUCUUGGUCUCACUGACUUCAAGAAUGAAGCCGUGGACCCUCACGGUUCAAGCGAUUCUCCUGCCUCAGCCUCCAGAGUAGCUGGAACUACAGAUGCGCACCACCACGCCCAGGCUGUGCUUCUCAGUGGCUCCCACCAGAUACCUGAUGGUCCUGUCGAUUUGCUGAAUCAUCAACUUCCUAUUCUCUGCCUCUGGCCUGAAUCGAUGUCCCACGUUAUCUGGCUCUCUGUAACACAGAGUCACAAAGUCAAAGUCUUCCUUGGUGAACCAGUUCAUGACAGUAUCGAUGUUCGCACUCCGCUCUGUCUCGUUGCUGUUUGGAGACAGGGUUUCACCAUGUUGGCCAGGCUUGUCUUGAACUCCUGACGUCGUGAUCUGCCUGCUUUGGCCUCCCAAAGUCCUGGGAUUACAGGCAUGAGCCACCGUACCCAGCCACUCUUGAUUAACUUAAUGGAAAUAUUUACAGAGAUUCUUUCUCUUCUGGGUUCUAGCGUCUUAUCUGUAACCUCUGCAGGGGAGUCACUGAGCAGAACGAAGCGAGUUGCCUGAGAUUCUUCAAAGCCCCAGCCCUUUUGGAGGUUACAUUGUUAUUCUCAGAGCCUUUAUGAUGCAUAAUAAAGACCUAGCUUGUACC